rnacentral:rRNA from 1 species
AGAGUUUGAUCCUGGCUCAGGACGAACGCUAGCGGUGUGCUUAAUACAUGCAAGUCGAACGGGGUCACUUCGGUGGCCUAGUGGCGGACGGGUGAGUAAUACGUAGGAAAUCUGCCCAUCAGUGGGGGAUAACGACGGGAAACCGUCGCUAAUACCCUAUAUAUCAAAGGUUGAAAUAUCUUUGAUGAAAGCUCCGGCACUGAUGGAUGAGCCUGCGGCUGAUUAGCUUGUUGGUAGGGUAAUGGCCUACCAAGGCUACGAUCAGUAGCUGGUCUGAGAGGAUGAUCAGCCACAAUGGGACUGAGACACGGCCCAUACUCCUACGGGAGGCAGCAGUAGGGAAUUUUGCGCAAUGGGCGAAAGCCUGACGCAGCAACACCGCGUGCACGAUGAAGCCCUUUUUGGGUGUAAAGUGCUGUCAGAGGGGACGAAUUUUGACUGUACCCUCAGAGGAAGCAUCGGCUAACUCCGUGCCAGCCACCGCGGU